ACUCCUACGGGAGGCAGCAGUGGGGAAUCUUCCGCAAUGGGCGAAAGCCUGACGGAGCAACGCCGCGUGAGUGAUGACGGCCUUCGGGUUGUAAAACUCUGUGAUCCGGGACGAAAAGGCAGAGUGCGAAGAACAAACUGCAUUGACGGUACCG
rnacentral:rRNA from 1 species